rnacentral:rRNA from 1 species
GAUGAACGCUGGCGGCGCACAUAAGACAUGCAAGUCGAACGAACUUAAUCGAAAGUUUACUUUUGAAGCGGUUAGUGGCGGACUGGUGAGUAACACGUAAGCAACCUGCCUAUCAGAGGGGAAUAACAGUGAGAAAUCAUUGCUAAUACCGCAUAUGCUCACAGUACCACAUGGUACAGUGAGGAAAGGAGCAAUCCGCUGAUAGAUGGGCUUGCGUCUGAUUAGAUAGUUGGUGGGGUAACGGCCUACCAAGUCGACGAUCAGUAGCCGGACUGAGAGGGUGAACGGCCACAUUGGGACUGAGAUACGGCCCAGACUCCUACGGGAGGCAGCGGUCGGGAAUAUUGCGCAAUGGAGGAAACUCUGACGCAGUGACGCCGCGUGCAGGAAGAAGGUUUUCGGAUUGUAAACUGCUUUAGUUAAGGAAGAUACAAGACAGUACUUAAAGAAUAAGCACCGGCUAACUAUGUGCCAGCAGCCGCGGUAAGAC